GCUGGGUGGUAUAAACGGCUUACACUUAGCUGGUAACCAAAAAGUUGGUGGUUCAAAUCUACCCAUCAGCA
rnacentral:tRNA from 1 species